AGCCCCGUAGUGUAGCGGACCAUCAUGCGAGGUUUUGGUCCUCGUGACCCCAGUUCGAAUCUGGGCGGGGCUA
rnacentral:tRNA from 1 species